GAUGAACGCUGGCGGCGUGCCUAACACAUGCAAGUCGAGCGAUUUACUUCGGUAAAGAGCGGCGGACGGGUGAGUAACGCGUGGGUAACCUGCCCUGUACCCACGGAUAACAUACCGAACGGUAUGCUAAUACGGGAUAAUAUGCUUUUAUCGCAUGGUAGAAGCAUCAAAGCUUUUGCGGUACAGGAUGGACCCGCGUCUGAUUAGCUAGUUGGUAAGGUAACGGCUUACCAAGGCGACGAUCAGUAGCCGACCUGAGAGGGUGAUCGGCCACAUUGGAACUGAGACACGGUCCAAACUCCUACGGGAGGCAGCAGUGGGGAAUAUUGCACAAUGGGCGAAAGCCUGAUGCAGCAACGCCGCGUGAGCGAUGAAGGCCUUCGGGUCGUAAAGCUCUGUCCUCAAGGAAGAUAAUGACGGUACUUGAGGAGGAAGCCCCGGCUAACUACGUGCCAGCCGCCGCCGUAA
rnacentral:rRNA from 1 species